ACUCAAAGGAAUAGACGGGGACCCGCACAAGCGGUGGAGCAUGCGGUUUAAUUCGAUGCAACGCGAAAAACCUUACCAACCCUUGACAUGUCGAUUAUGAGGACUAGAAAUAGAUCUCUUCAGUUUGGCUGGAUCGAACACAGGUGUUGCAUGGCUGUCGUCAGCUCGUGUCGUGAGAUGUUGGGUUAAGUCCCGCAACGAGCGCAACCCUCGCUUUUAGUUACCAACAGGUUAUGCUGGGCACUCUAAAGGAACUGCCGGUGAUAAGCCGGAGGAAGGUGGGGACGACGUCAAGUCAUCAUGGCCCUUAUGGGUUGGGCUACACGCGUGCUACAAUGGCGGUGACAGUGGGAUGCUAAAGGGCGACCUUAUGCCAAUCUCAAAAAGCCGUCUCAGUUCGGAUUGAAGUCUGCAACUCGACUCCAUGAAGUUGGAAUCGCUAGUAAUCGCGGAUCAGCAUGCCGCGGUGAAUACGUUCUCGGGUCUUGUACACACCGCCCGU
rnacentral:rRNA from 1 species